rnacentral:lncRNA from 1 species
GUUUAGGACAGGCCUGGGCAGCACACGCAAAGGUAUGAAGAAUGAUAUAGGAGGCAUCACACUCAUCCACGUGCAACACAAGAGAACCUGGGAGCCCAAUUACAGCCCAAGUCCUCCUGACAGCCUCCCCCAGCCGGCCUAGUCCACCCAACCAGGCCCAGCCAGACCCCCAAGAAAGCCGGCCCGACACACAGGCUCCUUGGUCCUGUUCUUCAGGAAGGAUUCAUAGCAUGAUGGACAUGAGCUGCAGCUCUUCGUCUCUCUGGUCUAAAGGUUGAUUAUUCAGGGUUCAGCUCCCGACCACCUUACACGCCAGCAGCAACCGGUAAUGUUCUGGUCUGGACCUGAGCCCUAGGACCAUGCCUCAGGACUACCUGCCCUGAUGACUCCUUGCUGUCCCCAGUCCACCUGGCCGUGCUGCUGCUCCAGUUUCAACUGUUCUGCCUGCGGCUAUGGAAUCCUGACCUGUUCAACGGACGUGCUACCUGUCCCAGACCUGCUGUUUUCAACUCUCUAGAGACAGCAGGAGCGGUAGAGAUACUCUGAAUGAUCGGCUAUGAAAAGCCAACUGACAUUUACUCCUGAGGUGCUGACCUGUUGCACCCUCGACAACCGCUGUGCUUAUUAUUGAUAAUAAUCUUUAUAAAUAAAUUUGAUUGAG